rnacentral:tRNA from 1 species
ACGGUGUUAGUUUAACGGUAGAACGUAGGAUUGUGGAUCCUAUAGUCCGAGUUCGAUUCUCGGGCGCCGUCCCA